rnacentral:tRNA from 1 species
AAGGUUUUAAGUUAACAAAAACUAAUAACCUUCAAAGUUAUCAAUAAAUUUAUUUUUAAACCUUA